AAAUUGAAGAGUUUGAUCAUGGCUCAGAUUGAACGCUGGCGGCAGGCCUAACACAUGCAAGUCGAACGGUAGCACAGAGAGCUUGCUCUCGGGUGACGAGUGGCGGACGGGUGAGUAAUGUCUGGGAAACUGCCUGAUGGAGGGGGAUAACUACUGGAAACGGUGGCUAAUACCGCAUAACGUCGCAAGACCAAAGAGGGGGACCUUCGGGCCUCUUGCCAUCAGAUGUGCCCAGAUGGGAUUAGCUAGUUGGUGAGGUAACGGCUCACCAAGGCGACGAUCCCUAGCUGGUCUGAGAGGAUGACCAGCCACACUGGAACUGAGACACGGUCCAGACUCCUACGGGAGGCAGCAGUGGGGAAUAUUGCACAAUGGGCGCAAGCCUGAUGCAGCCAUGCCGCGUGUAUGAAGAAGGCCUUCGGGUUGUAAAGUACUUUCAGCGGGGAGGAAGGUGUUGCGGUUAAUAACC
rnacentral:rRNA from 1 species